rnacentral:rRNA from 1 species
UGGGGAAUAUUGCACAAUGGGGGAAACCCUGAUGCAGCGACGCCGCGUGAGUGAAGAAGUAUUUCGGUAUGUAAAGCUCUAUCAGCAGGGAAGAAAAUGACGGUACCUGACUAAGAAGCCCCGGCUAACUACGUGCCAGCAGCCGCGGUAAUACGUAGGGGGCAAGCGUUAUCCGGAUUUACUGGGUGUAAAGGGAGCGUAGACGGCAAGACAAGUCUGAAGUGAAAUGCGGGGGCUCAACCCCUGAACUGCUUUGGAAACUGUGUAGCUAGAGUGCAGGAGAGGUAAGUGGAAUUCCUAGUGUAGCGGUGAAAUGCGUAGAUAUUAGGAGGAACACCAGUGGCGAAGGCGGCUUACUGGACUGUAACUGACGUUGAGGCUCGAAAGCGUGGGGAGCAAACAGGAUUAGAUACCCUGGUAGU